rnacentral:rRNA from 1 species
UACGUAGGGUGCAAGCGUUAAUCGGAAUUACUGGGCGUAAAGCGUGCGCAGGCGGUUAUGUAAGACAGAUGUGAAAUGCCCGGGCUUAACCUGGGAACUGCCUUUGAAACUGUCUAGCUCGAGGCCGGGAGGGGGUGGCGGAAUUCCCAGUGUAGCGGUGAAAUGCGUAGAUAUUGGGAGGAACACCAGUGGCGAAGGCGGCCACCUGGACCGGUUCUGACGCUGAUGCGCGAAAGCGUGGGUAGCAAACAGGA